CCCGACGACGCAACGCCGCGUGGAGGAUGAAGAUUUUCGGAUCGUAAACUCCUGUCGAAUGGGACGAAUAGAUUGCGGGUUAACAGCCCGCGGUCCUGACGGUACCGUUAAAGGAAACCCCGGCUAACUCCGUGCCAGCAGCCGCGGUAAUACGGGGGGGGUAAGCGUUGUUCGGAAUUACUGGGCGUAAAGGGCUCGUAGGCGGCCAACUAAGUCAUGCGUGAAAUCCCUCAGCUUAACUGGGGAACUGCGUGUGAUACUGGAUGGCUUGGAUUCGGGAGAGGGAUGCGGAAUUCCAGGUGUAGCGGUGAAAUGCGUAGAUAUCUGGAGGAACACCGGUGGCGAAGGCGGCAUCCUGGACCGAUAUUGACGCUGAGGAGCGAAAGCCAGGGGAGCAAACGGGAUUAGAUACCCCGGUAGUCCUGGCCCUAAACGAUGAAUGCUUGGUGUAGCGGGUAUCGAUCCCUGCUGUGCCGAAGCUAACGCAUUAAGCAUUCCGCCUGGGGAGUACGGUCGCAAGGCUG
rnacentral:rRNA from 1 species